AUUGAACGCUGGCGGCAGGCCUAACACAUGCAAGUCGAACGGUAACAGGAAGAAGCUUGCUUCUUUGCUGACGAGUGGCGGACGGGUGAGUAAUGUCUGGGAAACUGCCUGAUGGAGGGGGAUAACUACUGGAAACGGUAGCUAAUACCGCAUAACGUCGCAAGACCAAAGAGGGGGACCUUCGGGCCUCUUGCCAUCGGAUGUGCCCAGAUGGGAUUAGCUAGUUGGUGGGGUAAUGGCCCACCAAGGCGACGAUGCAUAGCCGACCUGAGAGGGUGAUCGGCCACACUGGGACUGAGACACGGCCCAGACUCCUACGGGAGGCAGCAGUAGGGAAUCUUCCACAAUGGACGAAAGUCUGAUGGAGCAACGCCGCGUGUGUGAAGAAGGCCUUUUGGUUGUAAAGCACUUUAAGCGAGGAGGAGGCUACCGAGAUUAAUACUCUUGGAUAGUGGACGUUACUCGCAGAAUAAGCACCGGCUAACUCUGUGCCAGCCGCCGCGGUAA
rnacentral:rRNA from 1 species